AAUAGAUACCCCGGUAGUCCACGCCGUAAACGAUGAGUGCUAAGUGUUAGAGGGUUUCCGCCCUUUAGUGCUGCAGCUAACGCAUUAAGCACUCCGCCUGGGGAGUACGGUCGCAAGACUGAAACUCAAAGGAAUUGACGGGGGCCCGCACAAGCGGUGGAGCAUGUGGUUUAAUUCGAAGCAAUGCGAAGAACCUUACCAGGUCUUGACAUCCUCUGACAACUCUAGAGAUAGAGCGUUCCCCUUCGGGGGACAGAGUGACAGGUGGUGCAUGGUUGUCGUCAGCUCGUGUCGUGAGAUGUUGGGUUAAGUCCCGCAACGAGCGCAACCCUUGAUCUUAGUUGCCAGCAUUAAGUUGGGCACUCUAAGGUGACUGCCGGUGACAAACCGGAGGAAGGUGGGGAUGACGUCAAAUCAUCAUGCCCCUUAUGACCUGGGCUACACACGUGCUACAAUGGAUGGUACAAAGGGCUGCAAGACCGCGAGGUCAAGCCAAUCCCAUAAAACCAUUCUCAGUUCGGAUUGUAGG
rnacentral:rRNA from 1 species